GCAUCCGGGAGUCCCUGCAUUUCUGAGUGACAGCCACUGCCUCUGGGGACCCCCGUUUCCUGGUCUUAGCUGACUCCCAUAUUUGCUGAAGGAUGUUGUCAAUCAUUUAUUAAAAAGGAGGUUUGAUAGGUGAAGACAUCGAAGCCCAGAGAAGUUGGGGCUACUUGCCCAUGUUGGUGACAGAGCAGAGGUCUAACACCACAACCCCCUGACCUCAGCCAACAGUCUGUCCAAUUUCUCCUAACAGAACAAAAGAACACUGAACAAUAAAGAGGCUGGAGUGUAAAAGACGUAAAAUAACCUGCAUAGCGUCCCUGAGCCAGAGAGGAAGCGGAAUGAACGCUUGGAUGUUUGCCUCCCAGGCAGGCGAUCUUUCCUCUCUAUCACAGGGUAGCCGAUGUCAUCUGACAGCCCAGUUAGGAGACUGUUCCAGCAGGGAGCUCACAGGCUGAUGGCUUUGGGUAUGAAGAGACUUUCCAGCUGUCAAAUGAGUAUGCCUGUCUCUGGGACGGCACUCUCAAAGCAUCACAGCAGGCAUGCCCUGACGAGUCAGCAAUAGCUCAGGAGCAGCACAAGCUCAUCUCCUUACUUCAAUAAAUUCACCAUCUGUGGCACAUUUGUGUUAUAAAUUACAGGGCAGCUUCAGUCACAGGAUGCAGCCGAGGGAAGAAAAAUGCUUACUAGUGUUCAUUGCUGGUUAACUUAAAAACAUGAUGCAUUUUAUACGUGUGGAUGAGGGAGCCUACCUCAUGGCUGAUAUAACGCCUUGCAAAUUUAUCUUUCACAGAAAAUACAUCACAGUGGGGAUAGGCAUUUUCAUUUAUUUGUGCCAGAACCUCCCAAGAAAAAUAAAAUGCCAAUAUGUUGCUCAA